CCUGAGGUACUGGAAGGUCCUCAGGCCGAAAGGGGCUCUGCCCGCCCGAGGAUGGGCCGGCGGCCGAUUAGGUAGUUGGUGGGGUAACGGCCCACCAAGCCGAAGAUCGGUACGGGCCAUGAGAGUGGGAGCCCGGAGAUGGACACUGAGACACGGGUCCAGGCCCUACGGGGCGCAGCAGGCGCGAAACCUCCGCAAUGCGGGCAACCGCGACGGGGGGACCCCCAGUGCCGUGGCAACGCCACGGCUUUUCCGGAGUGUAAAAAGCUCCGGGAAUAAGGGCUGGGCAAGGCCGGUGGCAGCCGCCGCGGUAAUACCGGCGGCCCGAGUGGUGGCCGCUAUUAUUGGGCCUAAAGCGUCCGUAGCCGGGCCCGUAAGUCCCUGGCGAAAUCCCACGGCUCAACCGUGGGGCUUGCUGGGGAUACUGCGGGCCUUGGGACCGGGAGAGGCCGGGGGUACCCCUGGGGUAGGGGUGAAAUCCUAUAAUCCCAGGGGGACCGCCAGUGGCGAAGGCGCCCGGCUGGAACGGGUCCGACGGUGAGGGACGAAGGCCAGGGGAGCGAACCGGAUUAGAUACCCGGGUAGUCCUGGCUGUAAAGGAUGCGGGCUAGGUGUCGGGCGAGCUUCGAGCUCGCCCGGUGCCGA
rnacentral:rRNA from 1 species